UCUAGUAGGAAUUACUGAGUGUUUUGGAAGGCACUUGAUAGAGGCAUCUCUGCUUUCCAGCACAGGGAUUCUCAGCCUUCUAAAGAUCUAGACCAGUUUCCAAGCUAGCUUCUCCACAGCCCACCACUGCCUAGUGUUUGCUUGUGUAUUCUCUAAUGGAUUUUAGGAGGAUAGGCCUUCUGACAGAGUCAUGAAAGACUGAAGGCAUGUCUAGGGAAAUAAAACCUGACUUGCCCUUCAGCAGGAAUGACUGGCAGCGGAUCUCUGUGUUCAAGGAAAGGGUGAGCGCUAAGCAUGCCAGUGAUGGAUCCGAAGUAUUUAGAUGGAUUGCAGACCAGGAAUUAGAGACCGUUUGUGACUCAAGGAACUUGAUGGAUCUGUUUAGAGCCCUACAUGAAUUUGCCAAGGGCAGUGAUUUUUAUGAAAUUCAAGAAGCAAACGACUUCGAUACAGCUAGAAUAUGUUGCAGUCUUCCUAUUUCAAACUUGAUUUUAAUAUUUUUACCAAGAAGUUUAACUGACAACUCUGCAAAAUUUUCAUUCAGUAUCAUUAAACCUGAGUUAAAUGUUUGCUUAGCUUAUCCUCUUAGAUGUUCUUCUGUUGAACAGGCAGGUUGCCCUUAACAGUAACUUGCUACUUAAA
rnacentral:lncRNA from 1 species